GUGUCAGCAGCCGCGGUAAUACGGAGGGUGCGAGCGUUAAUCGGAAUUACUGGGCGUAAAGCGUGCGUAGGCGGAUGCUUGAGUCGGAUGUGAAAGCCCCGGGCUUAACCUGGGAAUUGCAUCCGAUACUGGGCGUCUAGAGUGUGGUAGAGGGGGGUAGAAUUCCUGGUGUAGCGGUGAAAUGCGUAGAUAUCAGGAGGAAUACCGGUGGCGAAGGCGACCCCCUGGACCAACACUGACGCUGAGGUACGAAAGCGUGGGUAGCAAACAGGAUUAGAAACCCUCGUAGUCC
rnacentral:rRNA from 1 species